rnacentral:lncRNA from 1 species
GGUUCAGGAGUGUGUGACAGCAGCUGGGGCUCUGUGAGAGGCUUAUGUUAGACCUGUCAGGGAGCACGUUGGCUACAGCCUCUGUGCUGUGGGAUAGGACAGGUUCUGGAAGGAAUGUGUCUGCCCUUCCAGCCAUCUGUUUGAGAAGACAGAGAGAAGGACUUCAAGUGAUAUUUCAAACUGAAAUAGCACAUCCAGGACUGGGAAAUGUCCACAUCCACUGGGACUGGUGAACUCCAAUGCCUGUACGAGAACAAUUGAUUCUUUGAAGCCAUAAGGAUGGUACUGAGACUGUCCAGCUACUGCAGCAUGAGAACGCUCUACAUGAGCAGCAGUGAGGAACGUGCUGAAAUUGAGGCAAGGGUAAUCACUCUUCUUUCCAUUGUAGGUAAUAUUUACCCUUAUAGAGGUUGACAAGGGGAAACACAAGCCCCAGGAGUGACAGAACUUAUUUUUCUAGGCUGACCAUGGUGAAACUGUUUCAGCAACUUCCAGGUCAAAUACUGAAUAUUUCCUUAGUCCAUUUGCCCCUGUUUUACUAAAUAAUUCCAAGCCGGAGGUAGGAAGCACAUUUUGGAUUUUUCUGUUAUCUGUGUGGAUGCAAAUGCAGUAUUUUCCACAAAGAUGUUCCAUUAACCAGUCACAGGUGUUAGAUGAUUCAACUUAAUAGCUGCUAUUUCUAUUUAUUUACAGAAAAUAAUUUCCUGUUUUUACUUAAUUUUAGUUGUUACUGUAAUACUAUAAUGAAUAAGUUUCUGUAGUGUUGCAAUUUAUUAUAAUUGUAAUAAAAAAAACACAUACAUGUCCA